CAGCUUUUGGGAGCAUCAGGAGAACUGUGGAACCAGUGGAUACCAAAGGAGGAAAGCAAUCCAGGGGGAAAAAGCUCAGCAAGCCCUCACACCAGUGGUCCUAAUCUAUACCACACACAUAAUCAGGCCUUCUAACCGUGGAUGUCCCUUGGUCCGUCCCUCUGCUCUUCGCUCCACUUGAUCUCAUCAGUUCCCGGGGAUUGAACACCCGUUCUUAUGCUGGAAUCUAAGAUGAACUCGGGGUGUCCCAAAAGUCUUUGUGUACUUCUAAGCCUUCUCUUAAAGCUCUCCAAAUCCUUCUGAGGCACUCCCUGACCUCCAGUCUCUAGGAGUUCACAUUCAGGAAUGCUGGCAUUCAGUUCUGGUGAGGAUAAUUGACCAGGUCAGGUCAGCCCAAGACUAGGCAUCCCACAGGGGAAGCCAAAUGGGACAGCGUGGUCACAUGCUUGACCGUUUCUUUGCUGUCGGGUCGGCAGCACAUGGGGCUCACAGCGACAUCAGUCUGCUCCUGUACCCAGGUUGGCUGGAUUCAGCGAAUAUGCACGGGACCCUUGCGUGGGGGGCAGCAUGAAGAAGGGCCCCAACAGGGGUGCUCCUGCUGCUCCACCUACCCCUUUGGGAGAACGGGGAUGGGCGGCAACCUGACCACUUGGUUCCUUCUUCCCUCCCUGACCUUGGCCAAAGGGACUGGUUUGUUUUGCUAGAAGCUGGAUCGUUCCAUCAGCCUCUACUCCCUCCUCCCCACCCCCACCCCAGGUCAGCUUCACAAGCAAGAGAUCUCCAGGAAAUCUCAUCCAGACGCGUGUCACCUUGUCGCCGUGGAGGGCGGAGGCAUCAGCUCCCACGGACUCAACAGCCACCCCGCGCCGGACUGGCCGCUCUUUGGACGCCACGGGAGUACCCCCCCCCCCCCACCGUUUCAGCUGGUUGGUGACCCAGCACAGGGCCUGGUACUUCGCAGGUGCUUCAUGAAUGUUUAUUGACUCGGGAAGGACCAGGCUCCCACGAGAGAUGUGAAGGAAGAGGGAGGAGCAGCCAGAGCCCGUUGAUUGAGUAGGGGGGCGGCUGGGCAAAAAGGAACCCUUCCCACCUGCCCUGGCUCCUGGUCCAUCGCUGAUGCUUCUCAGAGGACAUCCUGUGAGGGAAACCAAGGGUUCAGAAGGGAACAAGGUCCGAAGCUCAGCCCUUGCUCCUCUCCCCACCCAGGGGCCUGUGAGCCCCCCCAGGGCCUCUUCCCCAGCUGGGGCCUACUCAGAUCUCUUCACGUGGAGCCCGCCUUCUGGCCUCGGCUGGCUCUGGGAACCUCGUAGCGGGUUGGUUAGAGGAAGAGCAGACAUGUGUGGAGUCUGGAGAGUGUGACAGGGAACCCCGUGGGGUCUGCUUAGAGGCAGAUGGGGGGGAGAAACAGGGGGGCCGAGAGGAAAGGGACAAAGAUAGAGAAUGAGUCAGAGACAGGAGGGAGAGACGGACGGACAAAGGGAGGACGGCAGGAAAGAGGGGGAGGAAAGAAAUGGAAACGAGUGAGUGAGAGAUAGAGACAAAGAGGAGAGAAACAGAGCUGGGGUGGGGGGAGAAAGAGGGAGAGCCAGGGCAGGGAAGGAGGAAGGGAGAGACAAAGACAGAAUGGGAAGAGAGGAGAAAAAGGCGGGCAGCCGGAGAGCCAGGGAGUGGGGAGGGGGAGCCCAAGCAGAGGGGACUUUACCAUCUACCCCCUUCUUCGCCUCACUUAGGGUCCCUGGCCCCCAUUCUCAACUCAGCACAGGUCACUCCCCUGCUCAGAAAACUUCCUGGGCCCCGACUGCCCCGGGAUAAAAUGCAGACUUUCCCCUCCCAGCCUCUCUGCGGACCCCAUUUCCAGGCUCCCUGGGGACACCCACAGCCAGCCGCAGUGGGCCUACUUCUUGUAGGAUUCAGGCCCAGACACAGGGGCAAAUGUGGGCAGCUCAAGGGCCCGGGGGGGCCGCCCCAGCCUCAGGCACGGCCUGUCCGACUCACUUUUGCCAGCUCCUUCUUCCCGGGGUUGUUGCGAGGGCCCCAUGAAGCAGUCAGGCCCUUGGCCUGCUGCCUGGCACGGCUGCUGCGCCCUUCUUUUCCCUUCUACAGCUUGUGGGCCUGCUGCCCCAGCCAGCCCCAGGAGAGCAAGCGAGAGGCCCGCGGUGCUGCCAGGCCUGCCCUACCUUGCUGGUCUCCCUUUGGACAAGGUCCUCGAUCUCCUGGGUCCAGCCCAGGGCCUUCACCAGCAUCUCCACCCCGCCAAUGAUGUCUCCCAGCUGGGCCACGUCGUUGGGACGAGGGCUCCAGGCAAAGGGGCCCACCAGCUCCCUGUUGAUCAGCACGCGGGGGACGGACCUUCUGGAUGCUUCGGAGAGGCUAGCAAAAGGCUCCACCUGAACAGGGCAAAGAAGGACCCCCUCGUGAGCCAGCUCGGUGGCUGACUGUCCAGCGAGACCCCCAGCUGCCACCCCUCGUCCAGCCCGUUUCCCUGAAAGCCAAGGCUUCAAUACGGGGCCCCUGGCCAAGAAGGGGGCGCAUUUCUUUCGCCCCUAAUUCCUGGGGAGCCUCUCCUGGGGCUGGGCUGAAAUCUGUCUCCCGGAGGCCCGUUUCCCCCCAGAUCUCCUCUCCUCCAGGACCAACGUCCUUCCGAGGAGUCCCGGACCCUGGUCAGCAGUGAACGAGCGUGACCAUCUCCACAAAGCCUUCCUCGGCCGCCUCCUCGAGGGGAGGCUGUUCUUCACUCCCCCGUUUAGGGGAUCAUAAAUCCGAAAUUGUGGGCAGCGUACGGGUCCCAGGGGCCUCCGGGGGCCCAGAGCCGUCCAAGGGCAGAGGCAGGACAGGGCCAGGGCGCUUCUUCCACGUCCCACAGGCUCCGAGGGGCCCGCAGAGCCAGAGCCGGCCCCGGCUGCCUGCGGAGUGACAUCCGUCCGGGCUGCAGCUUCUUGGAGCCCCGGGUUCUCCCUUUCAUCACCGGCCGGGCCUGGGACGCCUCUGCCCGUCCGCCCCAGCUUUCCCCUUUGGCCCUUCGCGCUUCGUGCAGCCGCCCACCUGAGUGCGCCUCGUCAGCGCCAGGCCGGCACCACUGCCCGGCCGUGCCUGCGGGAUCAGCCUAAAGCCCUCACAGUGCGGCCUCCACCUGGCCACUCCUUCCGCCCUCCUUACGGGAGGAGAAUAAACGCUCGGAGGGGAGACCCGGCCCCAAGACGCGUGACCGGAGCCCUUUUGGCUGGUCCCACGAGCACCCCGUGGCCCCAGAGGGCCAGCAGGCCCCGCAGCCCAACCGAAAGGCCUCCCCAUCCGCCCCGCGCUGGUUCAGCCCAGCUCUGGAGGGCUGCGAACAGCCUCCCUGCCCGAGCCCAACUCCUGGGUCCUCUCCCGCCAACGAGCUCGGGAAGCAGAAACAAGGAAGGCAGCCUCUGCUGGCACAGCCCAGACGUUCAUCAGGACACUCGCUAUUUGAGCCCAAAGAACGGGCGAACCAUCGGAAUCAAGAAUGCCAUCAGAGAGAAUGACUGCAAUGAGAUGACGUGCACAGGGGCAACUGUACACCCCUGAAUGGUGAGCAAUAAAACAGAGAAAAAGCAGAGCAAUGAAUUGUGGCUACCUAACUAAAGAACUAGAAAAAAAUGACAUCCCUAAUAGGGGGCAGCUGGGUGGCUCAGCCACUUCCUGGCUGCGUGACCCUGGGCAAGUCACUGGACCCCCAUUGCCAGCCCUUCCCACUCUUCUGCCUUGGAACCAGUACACGGUAUUGAUUCCAAGAUGGAAGGUGGGGGUUUAAAAAAAACAACCCUAAUUAAAAACUAAAUUGGAAAUCCUAAAAAUCAAAGGAGAAAUUAGUACGAUUGAAAGCAAGAGAACUACUGAACAAAUCAAGUUGGUUUUAUGGGAAAACCCCCAACAAAUAAAAUAAAUAGAGCGUUGGUUAAUUUGAUUUUAAAAAGGAAAGAAGCCAAUCAAGUUACCAGUAUGAAAAAUGAAAAGGGUGACUUCACCUCCAGUGAAGAGGAAAUCAAAGCAAUCCUUAGGGGCUGAUUUGCCCAGUUAUCCGACAAUAAAUCCAGAAUGAAUAUUACAAAAACGUGAAUUACCCAGAUUAACAAAAGAGGAAAUAGAAAACCAUCCCCAAAUAUCGCCUUCUCAGAAACAUCAGGAGCGAAACAAGGAUGUCCAUAAGCACCACUUUUGUUCAAUAUUGUACUAGAAAUGCUAGCAGGAGCAAUUAGAGAAAAAGAAACUGAAGGAGUUCAAGCAGGCAGUGAGGAAACUCAACUAUCACCCUUUACAGGCGACAGGAUGGUACACUUGGACAAUCAACUAAAAAAUGAGUUGAAAUCAUGAACAAGUUAGCAAAGUUGCAGGAUACAAAAAUCAGCAGCAUUUCUACAUAUUGCCAACAAAAUCCCGCAGCAAGGGAUAGAAAGAGAAAUUCCACUUAAAAUCCCUGGAAGCCUCUUUGCCACAACAAAGCCAGGAAUCAUGAACACAACCACAAAACCCUUCUCACACCACUAAAGUUAGAUCUAAACAAUUGGAAAAACAUUCAUUGUUCAUGGGUAGGUCAAGCUAAUAUAGUAAAAAUGACCACCCCACCCAAAUUAUGCUCAUUCAGUGCCAUAGCGAUCAGACUACCAAAAA